rnacentral:rRNA from 1 species
CCCUUAGAUGUCCUGGGCCGCACGCGUGCUACACUGAUGCAUACAGCGAGUACUCCCAGCUCCGAGAGGCUGCUGGUAAUCAGCAAUAUGCAUCGUGAUGGGGAUAGAUCUUUGGAAUUAUAGAUCUUGAACGAGGAAUUCCUAGUAAUCGCAGGUCAUCACCCUGCGUUGACUAAGUCCCUGCCCUUUGUACACACCGCCCGUCGCUCCUACCGAUUUCGAGUGAUCCGGUGAAUCAUUCGGACCGCGGCCCCUAGGCAUGCGGAAAGUCUAGUAAACCACAUCACUUAGAGGAAGGAGAAGUCGUAACA